rnacentral:misc_RNA from 1 species
GAUGAAGAACGUAGCGAAAUGCGAUACGUAGUGUGAAUUGCAGAAUUCAGUGAAUCAUCGAAUCUUUGAACGCACAUUGCACCUCUCGGUAUGCCGGGAGGUAUGCCUGUUCGAGCGUCAUUUGUACCCUCAAGCUCUGCUUGGUGUUGGGUGUUUGUUCCGCCUCUGUGUGUGAACUCGCCUCAAAACAAUUGGCAGCCGGCGUACUUGUUUCGGAGCGCAGCACAUUUUGCGAUCCAGAUCAACGUACAGCGGCAUCCAAGAAGCCUUAUUUAACGCUCUUGACCUCGGAUCAGGUAGGGAUACCCGCUGAACUUAAGCAUAUCAAUAAGCGGAGGA